rnacentral:lncRNA from 1 species
GCCACCCCUUUCCUCUCGCACCCCCAUGCCCUCUCACCCGAGCGCCGCCACUCGCUGUCGUCACCGCGUCGUCGCCGUUGCCAUGGCCACGACCGAUCCCUGGCCGCACUGACUAGUCCAGGAGGACCGCCACCGUCGACUUCGUCCAUCCAGAGCAUCAAAUCGAGUGGAGCCGUCCCGUGCGCUCGCCAUCGACCUCCUAUUCACCGCGUACAUCACCGGCCACCGUCGACGAUUGCCUCGCCUCCAGUCCACCUCCGGCCUUCCCGUCGCUUCCGUUGGAACCAUUGUGAGCUCCUCUUCCAAAACCCCCGCUCCCCCUGCUCUCCCCCUCGAUCCGUCGCCUUUUAGCCGCCCGCACUUCGGCCGCCGUGGCCGGAGCUCAAGCUCCCGUGCGUGACCGCGCUGCUGCUGCUCUAGAACGUUGCUGCAUGUCGCCCCCUGCGCGCGCCCGGCCGCCGUGACCGCACCCGGCCGCCCAUGGCCGCGCCCCUGUGCCUGCAGCCGUCUGCCGCGCUGCACGCGGCUCCUCUUACCGCUGCUCCUGCUCCGUGCGGCUGCUUGCUGCUGCUCUUUUGUUGUUGCCCCGCUGCUCACCCUGUUGGUGCUCUGCUCCCUGCCGCAAGGACCUGCCUGUGCCGCUCGCCUUGGCCACCUCGACCGUGCCUUGCGCCCUCCCGCGGAUGCCCCGCGUGCACGCCAUGCCCACAACUCGCGCGCCUCUCGUGUGGCUGCUCCUGGAUGCCUCGUGUGCUUCAGGUCGUGGCUGCGCAUGCCCAGCCGUAAGGCACGGCUAGACUAAUGGCCGGUCCAUUUAAUUAGUAGUAGGUUAGAUUAGGGGCUAAACUAUCAUAUGCCAAGUGGGCCCUUGUACUUAAUUAGUUUAGUUAAUUGGGUAGGCCUAUUUCUAUUAUUAGGUGUAGUCUAUGACAUGUGGGCCAAACUCCCUGUUGACUGGUCACCCUGGACUAGGUCAACCCAACAAUUGGACCCCACUUGUAAGCCACUGAAACUAAGCUACUGCUGUGUGCACCUAGCCAAUUCCUUUUUAAAUUCGAAUUAAUAAUAUUCAAAAAAAUAAUAAAACUUUAGAAAUUCACAGAAAAUAAUCCGUAACUCGGAUGAAAUUACUUUGUACAUGAAAGUUGCUCAGAACGACGAGACGAAUCCGAAUACGUAGCCCGUUCGUCCGCCACACAUCCCCAGCAUAGCAAACACGCAACUUUCCCCCUCCGGCUCGUUUGUCCGAAAAUGCCAAACACCGGGAAUACUUUCCCGGAUGUUUUCCCCCUUUGCCGGUAUCACCUAGUACUGCGUUAGCUCACCCCUGGCACCGCGUAUUGCCUUGUUAUAUUUUGUGAUGCUUUGUUUGCUCCGUAUUUACUGUUUCUUCCCCCCUCUUCUUCUCCGGUAGACCCCGAGACCGGCGUUGAUGCGAUUGAGUACGACUACGUCACCGACGACCCCUCCUUCUCGGCUGAGCUUCCAGGCAAGCCCCCCCCUUGAUCACCAGAUAUCGCCUAUUCUUCUCUAUACUGCUUGCAUUAGAGUAGUGUAGCAAGUUACUGCUUUCGGUUAAUCCUAUUCUGCUGCAUAGCCUGUCAUUGUUGCUACAGUUGUUACCCUUACCUGCUAUCCUACUGCUUAGUAUAGGAUGCUAGUGUUCCAUCAGUGGCCCUACACUCUUAUCCGUCUGCCAUGCUAUACUACUGGGCCGUGAUCACUUCGGGAGGUGAUCACGGGUAUAUAUACUUUAUAUACAUGACACAUGUGGUGACUAAAGUCGGGUCGGCUCGUUGAGUACCCGCAAGUGAUUCUGAUGAGGGGGCUGAAAGGACAGGUGGCUCCAUCCCGGUAAAGGUGGGCCUGGGUUCCUGACGGCCCCCGACUGUUACUUUAUGGCGGAGCGACAGGGCAGGUUGAGACCACCUAGGAGAGAGGUGGGCCUGGCCCUGGUCGGCGUUCGCGGAUACUUAACACGCUUAACGAGAUCUUGGUAUUUGAUCUGAGUCUGGCCAUUUGGUCUAUACGCACUAACCAUCUACAAGGGAGUAGUUAUGGGUAUCCUGGCGCCGUGGUAUCAGCCGAAGCCUUCGUGACGUCAGCGACUGAGUGGCGCGCGCCGGAUUGGACUGGAACGCCACUAGGCUAGGUCUGCUUCCGACCGCGUACACAACGUGCAGGUGUGCAUAGGGCGAUGGGCCCAGACCCCUGCGCGCAUAGGGUUAGACCGACGUGCUGACCUCUCUGUUGUGCUUAGGUGGGGCUACGACGCGUUGAUCUUACGAGGCUGGGCAUGACCCAGAAAAGUGUGUCCGGCCAAAUGGGAUCGAGCGUGUUGGGUUAUGUGGUGCACCCCUGCAGGGAAGUUUAUCUAUUCGAAUAGCCGUGUCCCUCGGUAAAAGGACGACCCAGAGUUGUACCUUGACCUUAUGACAACUAGAACUGGAUACUUAAUAAAACACACCCUUCCAAGUGCCAGAUAUAACCCGGUGAUCGCUCUCUAACAGGGCGACGAGGAGGGGGUCGCCGGGUAGGAUUAUGCUAUGCGAUGCUACUUGGUGAACUUACCAUCUACUCUCUUCUACAUGCUGCAAGAUGGAGGUGGCCAGAAGCGUAGUCUUCGACAGGAUUAGCUAUCCCCCUCUUAUUCUGGCAUUCUGCAGUUCAGUCCACUGAUAUGGCCCUUUACACAUAUACCCAUGCAUAUGUAGUGUAGCUCCUUGCUUGCGAGUACUUUGGAUGAGUACUCACGGUUGCUUUUCUCCCUCUUUUCCCCUUUCUAUACCUGGUUGUCGCAACCAGAUGCUGGAGUCCAGGAGCUAGAGAUCCCGAGGAUGAUUCUACAUGGAGUUCGGCUUUGAGGAGUAGUUAGGAGGUCCCAGGCAGGAGGCCUUGCCUUUUCGAUCGUUGCUACUUUUAUGCUAGCCUUCUUAAGGCAAACUUGUUUAACUUAUGUCUGUACUCAGAUAUUGUUGCUUCCGCUGACUCGUCUGUGAUCGAGCAAUUGUAUUCGAGCCCUCGAGGCCCCUGGCUUGUAUUAUGAUUCUUGUAUGACUUAUUUAUGUUGUAGAGUUGUGUUGUGAUAUCUUCCCGUGAGUCCCUGAUCUUGAUCGUACACAUUGCAUGCAUGAUUAGUGUACGGUCGAAUCGGGGGCGUCACAAGUUGAAAAACAUAAAUAAGUACGGCCUACUUUUAUGCUAGUCCCCUUUCCAACUCCUUGGCCGAAGUCGAGUCUAGUCAUUGAAAAACAUUUACUAACAUGGCUGUGUGGCUUACGAGCCCACGUCGCCAUUGGGUGGUACUAGGAUCUUUUACUCCUUGUCUAUACUCUGGGACUCUGAUCUCUCUUCUAUUCGGAUUAAACGAAUUUUGCUAAUUCUAACAUUAGGAUCUCGUUAUCACUUUCACCCGGAGAGCCCCUUAUUACUGAUGAUCGUCUGCUGCACGUGAGGACCCUGAAGACACUCUCCGUUGUUAACCCGAGAACUUGUGUUCAUCGCUUUUGCAAUUCCCUUCCAUCGAUAAACUCCUAUGGAUAACCACGUAUACUCGCCAUUCAUACAAUGUUUCCCAGUUGAUCUUGUUAUUACAAGAUACCCUGAAAUCCUCUCUAUUGUUCCGAGAAUAUUUUGUGCCUACUAUCUUGUAGUUCUUGCCACCUGAAUAUCCCUACGGACAAUUUCUCGCACUUAUAGAGUAUCCGCUCAUCCCCAGAUGAUUCGUGUGUCUCACAAAAUUCUUCGGAAUACUUUUCGAUCUUUCGAAAAUCCUCUACAGCCUGUUAUUCUUGAAAUUCUUGCCUGCUUGCAUUAUGGUUAAUUCCAUAUGACUAGUAGUCCUCGAUAACAGGUUAUCCUUUUUUAAAAAUUAUCUUUCUGACUCAGACGUCAUUCCGGACAUGAGUUGGUUCUCGGCAAUUCAAACCUUUAUUGAUUGUCCAACUAAGUGUUUUCAGCUUAUCCAUCCUUGAUCAGAGCGUCUGCUUCUGAUCCUUCGUUUUGGAAACCAUAAUUUCUUUCUAUUUAAGCAUCAGACUAAUCAAGUGAUUCUUGAAUCUGAUGCCUCUGCAUUCUUUCUUCCUCCGAGUGAGUAUCGAUACUCACAUCAGCUCCGUUGUGGAUCGCCCGAUCCAUUGUUGGAUUUUUAUCCGACAGCGUCCUUCAUAUUCAAUCACCUUGUGAGUUCUUCCGCUGAUACAUAAUGCCUUUGGUAAAUUGUAUCCUCUGCUUGGCCAACCAUGCUAUGCUUUCGAGCUUGUGUAUUUACUUUUGAAACUUGUGAUAUAUGUUACUAAGAUGCCCGAUGGGUUGAACCUAUGCCUUCCCCUAAUCCGUGAGAACCCAAAAGUUUUCACAAGUCAUACUCUUCCGGUGUUCUACCAGAUAAAAUUCCAACACUACAGUUUUAUCAAAGCGAGAGGUGAAUGAAAUGAUAUGCAUUAAAGAAGUGGGAGUCGACCUUGAACUUUAUGUUCAUGCCCAUGAAAAUGAUGUAGACCAUCUCGAAAGCUUCUUGCAAAAUGAUUAUCCAGCUGUAUGAUUCUUUCAGUAUUCUUGAAAUUGAUUCCUUACAGUUAUGGUUCCGACCAUGCUGUCCUGAUCCAAUAUAUCUGAUGGGAAUUCAUUCCAGUGCCUUGUCUAUUUUUGGCAAGGUUGAAGUAUCUACUGUCAUAGGUCAAUGACCCGGUACUACUUCUAUCAUGUUCAACCUUCGAGUAUUACCCCCUGGUAUCUCGAAGAUGUCUUGCCAUUGCACCACAUCUUACUAACUUUGUUGAAGUAAUGUCUUUCCUUGUCGUAAUCACUCUACGGGUUCUAGGUUGUUAUCAACCGAGGACACCGACUAGUGAAAUUAUUCCGCACUACAAAUCAAAUACCCCUAGUAUUUUUACGAGGAAAUUCUGAACUCAAUCUGGUCAUUCCUAGACUAUCGGCUGCAUCCUGGUCUUGCUAUCUUUGACUGUGCUACCUCAUCUUUCUCUGGUGCACGGAUUCUUCAGUGUGUGAGCACGACUUACGUCGAGCUUUCAACAUCAUGUUGCUUGUCUUGAAAGGCAACCUUGGUUCCGAGCUUGCAUCUUAUAUUUUGAUCCUAUAACUUGCCACUACGUCAUUCCCUUGCUUGUUGCCGUUGUUGUUUGAUUGCAUCCUCUCAAACCUCCCGGCAAAUGUGUCGGAUCACCUUCAACACUUUGACUUCUAUCGAGAUGUCAACUGUGUUCAUGAUGAGAAAUACCAUCCUUGCCCCUCGAUGAAUUGUGUUAUCAUCGACAACAUUCUUGCCUCCCCCCAACACAAACGUGUUCAUAUUUUGUGUUGUAUCUUGAUUUCCCUGCUAUCUAGCUUAUGAUAUGUUCUACCUUGGAGUAUUACCAUCUUUUAUGUCAAGAAUGUCGUGAGGAUUACUCCACCUCUUAAGAAUUCUUGGUACAGUGAUACUUCUCACCAUCACCAUUCUUUCUUGGUCCCCGUGUUGUUUCUAAACGAAAUACUGACAAAUGGUCUGUGAUGUGUAAAUUCUAAACUUCUAGCAACCCUAUGGCUUUGAAGUUAUUGGUCUAUAGUUUCAUUCUACAUCUAUGGCUUAAUGAAUCAUCAUUCGAACAUUGAUCAUGCUACCUAGCCCAUAUUUCGGGUGCACAUUUCAACCAAUGUUUGACUGUGUAUGUUUUCCUCGAGCAUACAUCAUCAUAUCAUUUGAUCUGACUAAUUUUAUCUCCUUGUUCACAUAAUUGUGGAAACCCAUCUUUUUGAAGUCUUGAUGAAUUGUUGCUGAGUUCACCAGCUACCUCCUUAUCCCUUCAUUGGUUUAAUGAUGAGCUUUUGUUUCGGAACUCGCUUCCGUAGUAAAUUUCUCGAGAAUCUUACAAUGUCGUCUCGUCAAUUUGUUUUGCACCUUUUCUUCUCAGGCAUCCUGAGUCUGAGGUAUCCAAACACCGAUCAUAUCUGAAUCUCGGUCAUAUAUGAUGGUUGGAACUUUUUUCCAAGAGUUAUAACACUGGUCUUUUAUGACCCGGUAAGGUGAUGAUUCCCAGCACACCUGGCGGGAUGACCUGUUGUUAUAGUUUCCUUAUUAGCAAGGUUAUCCAUUCUUCCAUGAGAAAAUUGUAAGACUUAUUCUACAAGUUUUUCCCUAUGGAUCCUUCUUGUAUCCAAAUUCUCAUCUUUGCUUGAAGACCAUGUCAAUGCUAUCUCGAAACAUGUCUGUGGUACUCCGAUUUUCAAUAAGAGCAUUUGAAGAACAAUGCUAAAAAAAUUUUGUCCAAUAUCCAAACACCGUUGUAUGGGUGAUGUCAUGAAAUUUCUCUCCCCUUACCUAAAUGGUUUUCUACUUCUAUCCAAUCAUGGAUAUCAUGCUCUGCUUGUCCUUGGGAAGGAUAUACCCCUGAAAUAUGUGUUUAAACACAUUUUCCUUUCCAUUGUUUUGUUUAAUAUUUCUUGUGAUCUAUAUGAUCUAAGUAGUAAUAAUUUACUGCUUAUGUAAACACCUCGAUGUACAACUCUAUCAGUAAGACCGUGUUACUAUUGUUGAUGACAUUUCGGUAUCCACCGAUGGACGAGAACUUUGCCUAUUGGUCCGCCUUGUUUCAACGAGCAGGAAAAUGGUUCUCUUCGUCCCUCGCCCUUGGUACCGACGUUGUUGCCUACGUAACUGACAUGCUACUCUCUGACAUGCCUUGCCAUCAUGACCGUGCAAGAUGUCACCGCUCCUAUUUUUAACCCACAUGGUGGGCCCAUAACCCACAGUUCCACAGGAUCGAGACCUGACUCUCCUGUACACCCUGUUGUCAAAGUUAUUCCUCGCGCUUGACUUUGUAUGUAAUUGACGGGCCACCUGCCUACUAUUCUGGUAUUAGACGCAAUACUGAUUCUCGUUGCUCGGGACCCCUUUCACACUUGGAUUCAGGCAACGGACGAUUGCCUAUCCAUUUGAAACUUCUCAUGGUACCUUCUUACUUUGCUCUCGAUAUCUUCUUAAGUUUCAAAUCGAGAGAUACUUAUGCUUCUUCCCUGAGUUAACCGUCUGAUGCUCGAUCUUGUUAGAAUCCAUCCAUAUGGAGUUUUCCCUUCUUACCCUUUCGUAAGUACGGUGAAGAUCCUGAAGGAAGGACGACAACUUCAUCAUGAUGACCUGAAGUAGAGAAAUGAAGACAUCAGCGCAAUGGAUCGACCACUUCGAGAAGACCAACCAAGACCGAGAAGACUCAAUAGAAUUUUGUAACCAGAACUUUCCCCCUUACUCCACCUCUUAAAUCUCGGGACGAGAUUGCUUGUAGUGGAGGAGAUUUGUGACGCCCGGAUAAUUAGGCUACAGUAAUCCCCUGGUAAUGAGUGCCAAGUCAUCACAAUUAGUUUGCCAAACAUCACUUGGUUCCAAAUCAAACUCAAAUUCAAAUUGCAUGUCAAAUUGUUUUCUUCAAAAUUUAAAAGACAAAAUGUUCGUUGAGUUGCAAAUAUUCUCUAAGUAAUUAACAUAUACUAACCAACAUUUUAUAAGGUAUUUAAAUGCCCAAAAAUAACUAAAACAGGGUCAAAACAGUAACUUAAAAUGCUUUUCCAAACUAUAAAAUUCCAAAACAUUUAAGUAACUCCCAAACCUUUUUGUGGCAGAGUCUAAAUUAGCAACACUAUUUACGGACCAAGUUUCACAUUUUAUAAAACUAGUUUGCUAUUAAAAUUAAAGUCAAAACAGAAAGAAUAAAUGUUACAAAACUAUAAGAAUAGUAAAAGAGCUAAAGGGCACUAUGCACUUGAGCCCACUAGCUAUAGUACAGGCCCAACCCACCAUAGCGGUCAUCUCCUUCCCCUGUUCACCAGAGGUGCCGUGGACGCAGCACGCACGUCGCCGCCGCCGAUGCACACACGUCGUUGAUCCCGCGGUUCCAUAGAUGGGAUAAGACCACCCUGGCCCCUUCUCGAACCCUAGGCCACCCCUUUCCUCUCGCACCCCCAUGCCCUCUCACCCGAGCGCCGCCGCUCGCUGUCGUCGCCGUUGCCAUGGCCACGACCGCUCCCUGGCCGCACCGACUAGUCCAGGAGGACCGCCACCGUCGACUUCGUCCAUCCAGAGCAUCAAAUCGAGCGGAGCCGUCCCGUGCGCUCGCCAUCGACCUCCUAUUCACCGCGUACAUCACCGGCCG